AUAUUGGGCGUAAGAGCUCGUAGGCGGUUUGUCGCGUCUGCCGUGAAAGUCCGGGGCUCAACUCCGGAUCUGCGGUGGGUACGGGCAGACUAGAGUGAUGUAGGGGAGACUGGAAUUCCUGGUGUAGCGGUGAAAUGCGCAGAUAUCAGGAGGAACACCGAUGGCGAAGGCAGGUCUCUGGGCAUUAACUGACGCUGAGGAGCGAAAGCAUGGGGAGCGAACAGGAUUAGAUACCCUGGUAGUCCAUGCCGUAAACGUUGGGCACUAGGUGUGGGGGACAUUCCACGUUUUCCGCGCCGUAGCUAACGCAUUAAGUGCCCCGCCUGGGGAGUACGGCCGCAAGGCUAAAACUCAAAGGAAUUGACGGGGGCCCGCACAAGCGGCGGAGCAUGCGGAUUAAUUCGAUGCAACGCGAAGAACCUUACCAAGGCUUGACAUGAACCGGUAAGACCUGGAAACAGGUCCCCCACUUGUGGCCGGUUUACAGGUGGUGCAUGGUUGUCGUCAGCUCGUGUCGUGAGAUGUUGGGUUAAGUCCCGCAACGAGCGCAACCCUCGUUCCAUGUUGCCAGCGCGUUAUGGCGGGGACUCAUGGGAGACUGCCGGGGUCAACUCGGAGGAAGGUGGGGACGACGUCAAAUCAUCAUGCCCCUUAUGUCUUGGGCUUCACGCAUGCUACAAUGGCCGGUACAAAGGGUUGCGAUACUGUGAGGUGGAGCUAAUCCCAAAAAGCCGGUCUCAGUUCGGAUUGGGGUCUGCAACUCGACUCCAUGAAGUCGGAGUCGCUAGUAAUCGCAGAUCAGCAACGCUGCGGUGAAUACGUUCCCGGGCCUUGUACACACCGCCCGUCAAGUCACGAAAGUUGGUAACACCCGAAGCCGGUGGCCUAACCCCUUGUGGGAGGGAGCUGUCGAAGGUGGGACUGGCGAUUGGGACGAAGUCGUACAGGGGUAACCC
rnacentral:rRNA from 1 species